rnacentral:lncRNA from 1 species
GAAAUUCUUCCCUAACAAUGGAAGGGAAUUUGUAUGUAUUCAGAUCUCCUGGGUAACUCUCAUCUAUGAGUUCUGCAUUUGGGUUAUUAUCGCCCAAAGGAAACGUGUCUCUGACAUAAAUCACGUGAAUGACAUUACUGGCGAUUACCUGCACACGAAUAUGAGAAAGCUUUAUCCAAUCACUUCAUGGUAAUUAUCUGGUAAGAGUUGUAUUCGUUAAAUUUUAAUUCCUUUUGCGUUUUAUUAUUUUCUAAGACCGCCUUACCAUUGUCUUCGCUUCAUUAUGCAACAUAUUAAUCUUGGGCGAGGUUUCUUGCUAUUGUUUUAUUCAUACAUUGCC